UCCCAAAUUUCUUGUCUUAGAUUUGUCUAGAUACGGAUGUAUCUAAUACUAAAAUGUGACUUGAUACAUCCGUAUCUAGACAAAUCUAAGACAAGAAUUUUGGGA
rnacentral:pre_miRNA from 1 species